rnacentral:lncRNA from 1 species
CACUUUAAACUUUAGAAAGAGCUCUUUGAUCUUAUUACGGAAAAGCCACUUAUAUAUGGUACAUUAUCUCACCGCUUUACUAUAGAAAAAAAUGAUUUUCUCUACACGUAGAAAGGACAAGUAAUCGGACUUUUGGGUUCUGCAUAGCUAAGCUUGGAUACAUAAAAAUUUGGGUUCUGCAGAGCUAAACUUGAAUACAUAAAAUUCCUGGUUACCAAUCAUAUCUUCCAUCUAUCAAUUAAAAUUUUCACCAUCAUAUGGAUUAAUAAGUCAUUAGUGGCAUAAUAUAGCAACAGCUUUUAGGUGUUUUGGGCAAUGAUCUAAUAUUUUAAAAGAAAUUUAAGUUUCAUUGGAAAAGACUUGAGACGUCUCGGACGUAGCCUAUAAAGGUCGCUGCGGGGUGUCUGGCCCCCUCAUGCUUCUAAUCUAAAAAUGGUAUAUGUGCAUUCAUAAGUACUGCUUGUCAUGCAUACUUCCAUACCCAUGAAAUCGAUAUGAUUCUUGUAUAAAUUAGAUGAAGGACUAAUAGUGUAAAUCCUUGAGUUUGUUUAUAAUACAGUUCUCACUUGUCUUGUGUUUUAUACAGAUUCUCUCAUUUAUAAUGUCGUCCAGCAUGCUAUGCCGAAGCUUUGUGCCGAUCAGGCCCGACUCAAUUAAAGAAGAGGCCCUGUGCUAAACUUAAAUUUUGAGCCCUUUUAUUGAAAAAACAAUAUAUACACCGUAUAAGUAAUUUCAUAAUAUUAAUUUUGGGCCCUUUUAGUCGGAAUAUUAUGGCUGUGUGUGUCUAUUUUUGUGAGUGGUUUUGAUUUCUCCAAAACUAAUUUCUAAUUUAUCUAAUAUAUAUAAGCAUUCCUGGACUAAUUGGGGGCCCCUAAAAAUUUUGGGCCCGGUGCAGUUGGGCUGACUGCACCGGUUGAUCACCGGCUCUGGUGCCGAUUGUUCAUGAACUUGCCAGUGCAAGGCAUAAAAACCUUUUGUGGUAUUCCAGUUAAAGUCCAGGUUAUAUUUCAGUUCUACUAUUGAAUUAUAGAUUUUUAUUACAUUUUUAAGUUUCAUUGGAAAAGACUUGAGACGUCUCGGACGUAGCCUAUAAAGGUCGUUACGGGGUGUCUGACCCCCUCAUGCUUCUAAUCUAAAAAUGGUAUAUGUGCCUUCAUAAGUACUGCUUGUCAUCAUACUUCCAUACCCAUGAAAUCGAUAUGAUUCUUGUAUAAAUUAGACGAAGGACUAAUAGUGUAAAUCCUUGAGUUUGUUUAUAAUACAGUUCUC